AGGUGAGCCGCCAGCAGUGGUGGAUGUGGGGAGAGAAAUGGCGGAGUUUUGAAAUUUGUAAGACUGGAUGUCAUGAACUGCUAUAUAUAUUAUGACUUUUGAACACUAUUAAGCUCGCAGUAGUGGCGCUCGCUGUAUUGCAGUAGUUCGAGUAACGAAGAUUUUUUGUGAGGGUGUCAACUGAAUAAAUGAUAGUCCAAUGUGGCGCGAUCAAUUGUGCAUGUUGGCUUGCUCAUUAAAGGUGUUCUCUCCAAUGAUCAAUACGAGCAGAGAGUGAUAAACAGAAUGG